rnacentral:rRNA from 3 species
UGACUGGGGUGAAGUCGUAACAAGGUAACCGUAGGGGAACCUGCGGUUGGAUCACCUCCUUACCUUAAAGAAGCG